rnacentral:rRNA from 1 species
AGUGAACGCUGGCGGUAGGCCUAACACAUGCAAGUCGAACGGCAGCACAGUAAGAGCUUGCUCUUACGGGUGGCGAGUGGCGGACGGGUGAGGAAUACAUCGGAAUCUACUUUUUCGUGGGGGAUAACGUAGGGAAACUUACGCUAAUACCGCAUACGACCUACGGGUGAAAGCAGGGGAUCUUCUGACCUUGCGCGAUUGAAUGAGCCGAUGUGGGAUUAGCUAGUUGGCGGGGUAAAGGCCCAGCAAGGCGACGAUCCGUAGCUGGUCUGAGAGGAUGAUCAGCCACACUGGAAGUGAGACACGGUCCAGACUCCUAAGGGAGGCAGCAGUGGGGAAUAUUGGACAAUGGGCGCAAGCCUGAUCCAGCCAGACCGCGUGGGUGAAGAAGGCCUUCGGGUUGUAAAGCCCUUUUGUUGGGAAAGAAAAGCAGCAGGUUAAUACCCCGCUGUUCUGACGGUACCCAAAGAAUAAGCACCGGCUAACUUCGUG